rnacentral:rRNA from 1 species
UACGUAGGGAGCGAGCGUUGUCCGGAAUUACUGGGUGUAAAGGGAGCGUAGGCGGGGAUGCAAGUUGGGUGUUAAAUCUACCGGCUCAACUGGUAGUCGCACUCAAAACUGCAGCUCUUGAGUGAAGUAGAGGCAGGCGGAAUUCCUAGUGUAGCGGUGAAAUGCGUAGAUAUCACGCAGAACCCCGAUUGCGAAGGCAGCAUACCGGUGCACAACUGACGCUCAGGCACGAAAGCGUGGGUAUCGAACAGG